rnacentral:lncRNA from 1 species
AAAGAGAAAGAACAUGACUAGCCACGGUGUAUCGGUGCAUUUUCUAUAAAUUUGGGGUCGCCAUUCUCUCUGCCUUGUUUUCUCUGCAGAAACCUUCCAGGAAAAUGGAGAGUUGAGAAAAGCAAGAGAAAUAGUUAGGUGAAAUCAACCGAACCCAAACCUAUCCAAAGGCUGCUUGAGUAACCGGACGCUUUCUCCGGGAGAGAUCUGCUCUCUGCAGGAUGGAUGUACAAUCCCCUCCCCCCCACGGGUGUCAAGUCCUUACUGGAGUAGGUCUCUUUCUCUCCCUUUUGUGUGUGAGACGCUCGCUUCCCUCCUCUUUGCAUCAUCAUCUGAUUUUCCAGUGGGCAUCCUUUGAAGCACACCCAGUGUGAAUGUCCCUGGCGACAACAGUUUUCUCUUCAACAUUCAGCUCUCAGGACCUUCCUGAAUGCAGACUUCUCAGAACAAGUAG